GGAUGUCAAAACAACCAGUGAGCCCGCUAGCUCCUGUCAAAAAACCGAAUUUGUUGCCUAAUAUCGCUUUUAUUUUGUUGGUUUGACUGUAAAAAUGGUCACAGGGUGCUGGGCUGUCGGCAAACGGAUGAGGAUGAUAACUAAACUUUUCAUUUUAUCGUCUUGAUGAGGAAAACAGACGGUGAAGGAUAGCAGCAGCUGUCAAUCAUGACUGCAAACCCUCGGCUUGAUUGCGGAUUUGCAGCAAAAACAUUUUACAAGGACUUGCUUCAGUGGAUUCAUACCUGCACAAAAGGUCCAGACCAACGGCAGAAACCAACUCUGGUCCAUUUAAAGUGGAUCAAAUGUGUCAUGAUUCAAUA